rnacentral:rRNA from 1 species
CGGAGGGUGCAAGCGUUGUCCGGAUUUAUUGGGUUUAAAGGGUGCGUAGGCGGCUAAUUAAGUCAGUGGUGAAAUCCAGCAGCUCAACUGUUGAACUGCCAUUGAUACUGAUUAGCUUGAGUAUAGUUGAGGUAGGCGGAAUUGACGGUGUAGCGGUGAAAUGCAUAGAUAUCGUCAAGAACCCCGAUUGCGAAGGCAGCUUACUAAACUAUAACUGACGCUGAGGCACGAAAGCGUGGGGAUCAAACAGGAUUAGAUACCCUGGUAGUCCACGCUGUAAACUAUGAUCACUCGAUGUGUGCGAUAUACAGUACGCGUCCAAGCGAAAGCGUUAAGUGAUCCACCUGGGGAGUACGGCCGCAAGGUUG